UGCGUGCACGCCUGUGCACCUGGCUAGGAUUCGGGUAUUAAUCUUGUAAAUAUCUCUAAAUCACCACCGUAAAGACAGUUAAAAACAUUGUGUGUAUCUCAACACUAUCGUAAUUGGCCGGAUUUGUUGUGUUAGUCACACACGACAUAUAGCCACAAA